UUUCCCCUGCGGUGUUCGCCAAGGCUUUACAUUCCUUGAACCAAUGCCUUGGCAUUGGCCGCGGACCAAAGCGUCACUAUUGCGAGCGUCCCUCCCUCGUGAGCCGGACGCACCUGCGGUGACCGGAAAGCGGCCGCUCUGGACCUCCGGUUCAGGAUGCCGGCCUAGCGGCACAGGCGGGGGAUCC
rnacentral:other from 1 species